CCCUUAGAUGUUCUGGGCCGCACGCGUGCUACACUGAACGGUUCAAUGGGUAAGGUAGUGCGAAAGCAUGACCUAAUCUCGAAAUCCGUUCGUGCUGGGGAUAGAAGCUUGCAAUUAUCCUUCUUGAACGAGGAAUACCUUGUAAGCGUGAGUCAUCAUCUCACGCUGAAUACGUCCCUGCCCUUUGUACACACCGCCCGUCGCUCCUACCGAUUGAGUGUUCCGGUGAGGCUUUGGGAGAAUGGCCUCAACAUGAGUUUAUCGUGUUUUGCCGUUUGAACUUGGUCAAACCUUAUCACUUAGAGGAAGGAGAAGUCGUAACA
rnacentral:rRNA from 1 species